GAGUUUGAUCUUGGCUCAGGAUGAACGCUGGCGGCGUGCCUAACACAUGCAAGUCGAACGGAGUUCUUAAGGAAUGCGGCUUCGGCCAAAUGACUUUUGAACUUAGUGGCGGACGGGUGAGUAACGCGUGAGCAACCUGCCUUUCAGAGGGGGAUAACAUUUGGAAACAGAUGCUAAUACCGCAUAAGAUUACAGUACCGCAUGAUACAGUGAUCAAAGGAGCAAUCCGCUGAAAGAUGGGCUCGCGUCCGAUUAGAUAGUUGGUGAGGUAACGGCUCGCCAAGUCGACGAUCGGUAGCCGGACUGAGAGGUUGAACGGCCACAUUGGGACUGAGACACGGCCCAGACUCCUACGGGAGGCAGCAGUGGGGAAUAUUGCACAAUGGGCGAAAGCCUGAUGCAGCAACGCCGCGUGAGGAAGACGGUUUCGGAUUGUAAACCUCUGUUUUCGGUGACGAACAAAUGACGGUAACCGAGUAGGAAGCC
rnacentral:rRNA from 1 species